rnacentral:rRNA from 1 species
GACGAAGGGGGCUAGCGUUGUUCGGAAUUACUGGGCGUAAAGCGCGUGUAGGCGGUUGCCCAAGUCGGGUGUGAAAGCCUUGAGCUCAACUCAAGAAAUGCACUCGGUACUGGGUGACUAGAGGACCGGAGAGGAUAGUGGAAUUCCCAGUGUAGUGGUGAAAUACGUAGAGAUUAGGAAGAACACCGGUGGCGAAGGCGGCUCUCUGGAACGGUACUGACGCUGAGACGCGAAAGCGUGGGGAGCGAACAGG